CAGUCACAGAACCCUUGACCUUGACUAUCCACCGACUGUGGACAGUGACCCACCAGUGGGGGUUGUAGGUGAACAGGUUAAACGUAAUGAUAACUCUGUUAGGUCUGUCAGGUCAGGGGCUGGUCGGGUUAGGAAACACCCAGUAAGACUCAUGGAGACUAUGCAGACACAGAGGGUUUUUCAUACAGAAUUCAUUAGAAUACCUUUCUGGGAUGUGCUUUGGUAUAUGAUUGCUGUAUAUAAGUGGGUUAGCUAGCAUGCACCGAUGUAAUGGUCACAUAAGCCCACUGCUAACACAGUUGUUUUCAUGCUACAGAUUUUACCAUUGACAGCCAUCAACAUCAUUAGGCCCUUCACAACUAACCUGCUGUUUCCUAUUGAACAACAGAUAAUAAUGCUCAACUGGGACCACUGGCUGGGGUGAUUUAUUAGGACAAAACACAACGCAAGGAGAGAACGAUUAACAUCUGUUACACUAACAACAGUGUAGUUAACUCAACUCAUUCAAACUAUCAUGACUAUUGUUUAGAGAGAAGAUCAUAGAAGAUCAGGCAUAAAGUUUAAGAUAUAGCAAGAGAGGACAAUAUGGUGCAAGGUAGCCAAAGUGGAAUCAAAAGUCAUAGGCCUAAUCAUCAAUCAAAUAUGAAAUAUAAAACCAAAAUAUAAUCUACAUAUAAAUGUAGUAGAGUUGAAAAGGUUAUUCCAUCAAACUUCUAAUGAUUAGAAUAGUACACAAGGCAGAACAGAACAGCCAGGUUGGGGGUCAGUGGCCCAAGCCCGCGAACAGGAAUAUUCCAAGUUCAGACAGAAGGGGGGGAGUCAGAUCGUUAUGAUCGCCAGGAAAUUUACUUUUGGUGUCUAUUUUUAAUUGUUGCGCUACUGGUGCUGCCUGUUGAUGUUAGGUAGGGAACUACAGUAGCUGAAUGAUGUUAACAUCAUCUUAAAUGUAUUUUAUUUCAUCUGAGUGCUUGCGUCACAUACUAACACCCUGGUACAACCCGUAGCUCCCGUUCUCCUCAGUCUGAGUAAAACACUGAGAGAAAGGUAUGUGUUGCAGAUUACUCCUUUGUAGAAGUCCAUAACGUGAAAUAAAUAAAACAUCCCGAUGUUAAUGCUGUAGAUAUUGUUAUAAGGGAGUGUGAGACUAUUGAAACAUGUAACUUUCAGAGUUUUAUUGUUAUUAAGAUAGUUUACAGAGUGCUAAAAGUGCUGCUGUUGCUAGCUAGCAUGCCUUUCUGUGAUGCAGACGGUUAGCUGCCCACUGGUGCUGGCUUUGCAUUAUGGGAGAUGUAGUUUUGUCCGGUCUGAAUGGGAUAGAGGCGAUUUCACGUUGUAACUUGUUUGUGUUGCAGUGUUUUUGUACAUGAGUUGUUGUAUUUUGGUACUGUCAACACUGAAAGCACCUAGCAAUGUAUUGGGGAUGUGAGACAGGAUAUGUGUUUUACCUUUCUUCAUGCUCGAAAGGGGUAUAAUGAAAGAGUGGAAGGCUGAGUCAGAGAGCCAGAGGGAGGCAGAGUGCCACAGAGGGAGGCAGAGUGCCACAGAGGGAGGCAGAGUGCCACAGAGGGAGUCAGAGUGCCACAGAGGGAGUCAGAGUGCCACAGAGGGAGUCAGAGUGCCACAGAGGGAGUCAGAGUGCCAGAGAGGGAGUCAGAGUGCCAGAGAGAAGCAGAGCGAGCCACAGAAGCAAUGGAGCACCAGAGAAAACUGCAGGAGAUCCACAGACUCAAACAACUGCUGGAUCUACUGAUGGUGGACCUACAACUGGCCCACAUAAGACAUGUCAUUGUUAUUAUUAAAAGGCAGUGUAUAUUUACCCAGCUGAAAAUGAAUAGUGGCAGACAGCGGUACGCUAACCCAAUGUUAACUUUUAUUCCUUUCCUUAACCCUUACCUUAACCUCACUGAAACUAUACCUAACCUUUACCUUAACCCAACUCUAGGUCCUGAACCUAACCUUCAUUUAUCUCAACCCCUAUGCCUUUCUUCUGCCGGUUGAAUAUCCACUUCCUUAUUAACGUCAUUACUGUUGUUGUUGUUGUUGUUGAUAACUGUAUCUGUGCAGGUUGUAAAUAGUUGCAUUAGUGAAGCAUCAUCUGUAGGAGUAAUUUCUACAAGCAUAAACAUCAGAGGCAACAUUGUUGUAACAUCACACAAAUUGUAACAGGAAUUUCUCAAACCCCUAACUGAAUGGGCAAGAAGGUUGUGUGUUUGUAUUUGUACACAUUGUGGACAUAAUUGAUUCCGUAAAAUGUCUCAUAUUUGCAUUGGGAAUUUCAUUUAGCUUCAAUCAGAGAGAGAGAGAAGAUAAUAGAGGCAACGAAAAGAGAGGAGAUGGCAGAAGAGGAAAGAAGGGAGAUCCUUGAGAAGAGGGGUGAGUUAGAGAACACUGAAGAGGAGGAGGAGAAGGACGAUGACAAGGAGGACAUCCUCCCACCUGAUAAAAGUAUCUGAAGGAGAGCCGUGGGCUGGGUAAAUAAGAAGUGGGAGAAGAGGAACCUCAGAAAGAUAGAGAACCUGUCAGAGAGAAGCUGAGGAGGGCUAUAAGAUCGUCCACAUAGUCAUCCCUGGACCCAUAAGGCUAACCAUGACCCAGGCAGAGAGAGAGAGGAAGGAGCUCCUGAAGACUGAGGAGAGAAGGAAUAAGAUGGAGGAUUGCAGUGGAGAGAGCAGUCCCUGCUUAAUAAACGGACUCAUCAGAAACUUAAAGAGGAGAGGGAGAGGAUGAAGGAACAGUACCUAAAUAAACAAGCAAGAGAUUU